GGAAGGAUCAUUAUUGAAAUAAACUUGAACGGGCUGUUGCUGGCUCUUCGGAGUAUGUGCACGCUCGUCAUCUUUAUCAUUUCUCCAACUGUGCACAUAUUGUAGACCUUUUUGUUUUUUUGAAUCUAAACAAGAUUCAAAAGUUGAGGGACUGCUGCGCUGAAAACAAAAGUCGGCUUUCCCUUGUAUUUUUCAGGUCUAUGUCAUUUUUCACAAACGUGUUUAGAAUGUUGAAUAAUAAAAGUUUAUAAUACAACUUUCAGCAACGGAUCUCUUGGCUCUCGCAUCGAUGAAGAACGCAGCGAAAUGCGAUAAGUAAUGUGAAUUGCAGAAUUCAGUGAAUCAUCGAAUCUUUGAACGCAUCUUGCGCUCCUUGGUAUUCCGAGGAGCAUGCCUGUUUGAGUGUCAUUUGAACUUCUCUCAACCAUGUCGUCUUUUCGAUGUGGCUUGGAUGUGGGGGUAAUUUUUUGCAGGCUUUAAAUUUGAAGCCAGCUCCCCUGAAAUGCAUUAGUGGUAUCUGAGCUGCUAUUGGUGUGAUAAUUUAUCUAUGCCUUUGGUAACAGGAGUGCUGCUUAUAACAACAACAAUUGACAAAUUUGACCUCAAAUCAGGUAGGACUACCCGCUGAACUUAAGCAUAUCAAUAAGCGGAGGAAAAGAAACUAACAAGGAUUCCCCUAGUAACUGCGAGUGAAGCGGGAAGAGCUCAAAUUUGAAAUCUGGCAGCUCUUUGAACUGUCCGAGUUGUAAUCUAGAGAAGUGUUACCUGUGCUGGACCGUGUACAAGUCUCCUGGAAUGGAGCGUCACAGAGGGUGAGAAUCCCGUCU
rnacentral:misc_RNA from 1 species